ACCAUCUGCCACAGAGACUGCUGGUGUCCUAUCGCUGCUCCAUAGAGAGCAUUUUGACCUACUGUCUGUGUGUGUGGUUUUCCAGCUGCACAGUCACAGACAGGAAAGCUCUCCAGAGGGUCGUCACCACAGCCCAGAAGAUCACUGGUUGUCUCUUGCCUUCAUUAGAGGAAUUAUACACCAGACGGUGCCU